UACGUAGGGGGCUAGCGUUAUCCGGAAUUACUGGGUGUAAAGGGUGCGUAGGCGGGUACUUAAGUCAGAUGUGAAAGCUAUGGGCUUAACUCAUAGAUUGCAUUUGAAACUGGGUAUCUUGAGUGCAGGAGAGGGAAGCGGAAUUCCUAGUGUAGCGGUGAAAUGCGUAGAGAUUAGGAGGAACACCAGUGGCGAAGGCGGCUUCCUGGACUGUAACUGACGCUGAGGCACGAAAGCGUGGGGAGCAAACAGG
rnacentral:rRNA from 1 species